CCUACGGGAGGCUGCAGUGAGGAAUAUUGGUCAAUGGGCGCGAGCCUGACCCAGCCAAGUCGCGUGAAGGAUGACUGCCCUACGGGUUGUAAACUUCUUUUAUAAAGGAAUAAAGUGAGGCACGUGAUCCUUUUUGUAUGUACUUUAUGAAUAAGGAUCGGCUAACCCCGUGCCAGCAGCCGCGGUAAUACGGAGGAUCCGAGCGUUAUCCGGAUUUAUUGUGUUUAAAGGGAGCGUAGAUGGGUUGUUAAGUCAGUUGUGAAAGUUUGGGGCUCAACCGUAAAAUUGCAAUUGAUACUGGCUUGCUGGAAUGCGGAUGCGGUGGGAGGAAUGUGUGGUGUAGGGGUGAAAUGCAUAGAUAUCACAAAGAACACCGAUUGCGAAGGCGUCUCACGAAUCCGCGAUUGACGCUGAGGAACGAAAGCGUGGGUAGCAAACAGGAUUAGAUACCCGAGUAGUC
rnacentral:rRNA from 1 species